rnacentral:rRNA from 1 species
CCUACGGGUGGCAGCAGUGGGGAAUAUUGCACAAUGGGGGCAAGCCUGAUGCAGCCAUGCCGCGUGUGUGAAGAAGGCCUUCGGGUUGUAAAGCACUUUCAGCGGGGAGGAAGGCGUUAAGGUUAAUAACGUUGUCGAUUGACGUUACCCGCAGAAGGAGCACCGGCUAACUCCGUGCCAGCAGCCGCGGUAAUACGGAGGGUGCAAGCGUUAAUCGGAAUUACUGGGCGUAAAGCGUACGCAGGCGGUCUGUCAAGUCGGAUGUGAAAGCCCCGGGCUCAACCUGGGAACUGCAUUCGAAAGUGGCAGGCUAGAGUCUUGUAGAGGGGGGUAGAAUUACAGGUGUAGCGGUGAAAUGCGUAGAGAUCUGGAGGAAUACCGGUGGCGAAGGCGGCCCCCUGGACAAAGACUGACGCGCAGGUGCGAAAGCGUGGGGAGCAAACAGGAUUAGAUACCCCGGUAGUC